CCAACAGGGAUUGCCUCAGUAACGGCGAGUGAAGCGGCAAAAGCUCAAAUUUGAAAUCUGGCCCUUUCAGGGUCCGAGUUGUAAUUUGUAGAAGCUGCUUCGGGUGUGGCUCCGGUCUAAGUUCCUUGGAACAGGACGUCAUAGAGGGUGAGAAUCCCGUAUGUGACUGGAUGCCUACGCCCAUGUGAAGCGCUUUCGACGAGUCGAGUUGUUUGGGAAUGCAGCUCAAAAUGGGUGGUAAAUUUCAUCUAAAGCUAAAUAUUGGCCAGAGACCGAUAGCGCACAAGUAGAGUGAUCGAAAGAUGAAAAGCACUUUGGAAAGAGAGUUAAACAGUACGUGAAAUUGUUGAAAGGGAAGCGCUUGCAAUCAGACUUGCGCCUGGGCGAUCAUCUGGGGUUCUCCCCAGUGCACUCGUUCAGGCUCAGGCCAGCAUCGGUUCUCGCGGCGGGAUAAAGGCCCUAGGAAUGUGGCCCCUCUCGGGGGGUGUUAUAGCCUGGGGUGCCAUGCCGCCCGCGGGGACCGAGGACCGCGCUUCGG
rnacentral:rRNA from 1 species